rnacentral:lncRNA from 1 species
CAGCCUGCCCCCAAAAGUUGCCCAUAAUUUGAAACCCGCACGUCUCGACAACACUUUCCUUCCCAGAGGAGUGCCUUGCAUUUUAUUUCUAUUCAUUAUUAUUUUUUUUUUUCGCUUUUUGGUAAACGACUUUUAAGUUCCAGUCACUACUUUCACUUCUUGCUUUAGGAUCCCAGAAACUAAGGUGCUACUUCACCCAGCUCCGCGAAAUAAAAGAAAGAAAUGAAAGCGAGCAAGCAGACAAAACAGCAAACUUUCUGUUUGGGGAAACACAUCCUCGCCUGGCCGGGCUGCAGCACGAACAGUUUUGGCCAGAAAUGGUGAGAAGAAAAAGCAUGAAGAAGCCGCGAAGUGGAGGAGAAAAGGUGAAGGGAGAUGCAGCU